UACGAAGGGGGCUAGCGUUGCUCGGAAUCACUGGGCGUAAAGGGUGCGUAGGCGGGUCUUUUAAGUCAGGGGUGAAAUCCUGGAGCUCAACUCCAGAACUGCCUUUGAUACUGAAGAUCUUGAGUUCGGGAGAGGUGAGUGGAACUGCGAGUGUAGAGGUGAAAUUCGUAGAUAUUCACAAGAACACCAGUGGCGAAAGGCGGCUCACUGGCCCGAUACUGACGCUGAGGCACGAAAGCGUGGGGAGCAAACAGG
rnacentral:rRNA from 1 species